CCCAGAUCUCCUUAUCCUUUCCUUCUGCGCCGCCCAAUCCCUCUGCUUUUGAGGCCUCCGACCACCAUCCCUCCAUGGCUCCCCACCUUCCAAGGUCACACGAGCGCCUCAACCUGCACUCUAUGAUGUGGAUCUGUACCCGCCGGCCACCACCAUCCAUGGCUCCUCCGCUAUUGGGACACGGCGUCGUCCCAUCUCCGUUCUGGAUAUCACCAUGCGACACCAACGCUUGUCCUGCUCCUCCACCAUGGCCCUGCUCAGACCACGCCGCCAUCGAUGCCACCGUCGAGAAUCCACCCCAACUCGAGCAGUUCACCGGCGUUAUGGAGGAAGCGCUAAGCAGCUGCAUUGCAAAUAUGAGGAACAUCAUCCGUGCAAGAAGUUCAGAUUCACUCGACGGCAAGAAAUAGUGUCAUAUUUUUCAUAUUUAAGCUCAUCAUCCGUGCAAGAAGUUCAGAUUCACUCGACGGCAAAUAUGAGGAACAUCAUCUAGUGUAUUCCUCAUAUUUAAGCUCACCGUGUUCUUCCUUCUCCCUUAAGUUGUAUUUGGUUUUUCUUUCUUAUAUUAAAGACUGAACAAUUGCAGUGUAAGCACACAAUUGGAUGUUCCUGCUGGAGAAGGUUUUUGGGAAGAAUUAAACGAACAUCAUCAGUGCUUCAUAGAGGCUGAAGCAGGUGGUUGAGGUAUCACUCAAUUUCAAGAAAUUGAAUAAGAUUCUUCCAAGUGAAAUGGCACUAUUCCCUUUCAUAUUUUGUUCUAUGCACAUGAACCUAGAAAUUAAAUAUUGAUCAACACCUGAUGGAGGACUUGUUUUUCUAGUUCGCAAUUCAUUCUUAUUAGGAACAAAAUUCAAGAUCACGUAUCUGUGAGAUAUGCAAGCGCCUCUAAUCAAGGGUAACCUUGAAGGGAAGUUUGCAACUUAAGCUGCAACCAAAGAUUAUAGAAAAUGAGAUCUCUUGUUGUGUAUAUUUAGUUGAUGCACUUGUGUGUUUUUAGAUGUUGCACCUCUGUUUCCAUUGACCUUCGAUUCAUGUACGUAAAUUCUAUGGAACUGUAUCCGAAGACAUGUGAAUUUGUAUCUCUGGUUGAUGGAAACAAUUGAUAGUGAUGUUUCUAUGUUAUAAAUA
rnacentral:rRNA from 1 species